ensembl:snRNA U2 U2 spliceosomal RNA
AUCGCCUCUCGGCCUUUUGGCUAAGAUCAAGUGUAAAACAUAGAUAUUCUUUCAACUUCAUAUUAGGAUAAACUUUAAUGAGUCAGAGUUUUUAAACAGCAGAGUGGUCUGGUAUUUGCAUAAAUGGAAAAAUUUAGAUAUAAUCAGACAACCCUC